UACGAAGGGGGCUAGCGUUGCUCGGAUUGACUGGGCGUAAGGGCGCGUAGGCGGUUCGUACAGUCAGACGUGAAAUUCCUGGGCUCAACCUGGGGGCUGCGUUUGAUACGUGCGGACUUGAGUGCGGAAGAGGGUCGUGGAAUUCCCAGUGUAGAGGUGAAAUUCGUAGAUAUUGGGAAGAACACCGGUGGCGAAGGCGGCGACCUGGUCCGGUACUGACGGCUGAGGUGCGAAAGCGUGGGGAGCAAACAGG
rnacentral:rRNA from 1 species